AGCAGCCGCGGUAAUUCCAGCUCCAAUAGCGUAUAUUAAAGUUGUUGCAGUUAAAAGCUCGUAGUUGAACUUCAGGCCUGUCCAGACGGUCCGCCUUAAUUGGUGUGUACUGUCCUUGGGUGGGUCCUACCUUCUGGCGAAGCGGCAUGGCCUUAGUUGGUUGUGUUGGGGAACCAGGACUUCUACUGUGAAAAAUUGAGUGUUCAAAGCAGGCAAAUAUGCUCGAAUACAUUAGCAUGGAAUAAUGGAAUAGGACGAUGGUUCUAUUUUGUUGGUUCUAGGACCGUUGUAAUGAUUAAUAGGGAUAGUUGGGGGCAUUAGUAUUCAAUUGUCAGAGGUGAAAUUCUUGGAUUUAUUGAAGACUAACUACUGCGAAAGCAUUUGCCAAGGAUGUUUUCAUUAAUCAAG
rnacentral:rRNA from 1 species